rnacentral:rRNA from 1 species
CCUACGGGGGGCAGCAGUGAGGAAUAUUGGUCAAUGGACGAGAGUCUGAACCAGCCAAGUAGCGUGAAGGAUGACUGCCCUAUGGGUUGUAAACUUCUUUUAUAUGGGAAUAAAACGUUCCAUGUGUGGGAUUUUGUAUGUACCAUAUGAAUAAGGAUCGGCUAACUCCGUGCCAGCAGCCGCGGUAAUACGGAGGAUCCGAGCGUUAUCCGGAUUUAUUGGGUUUAAAGGGAGCGUAGGUGGAUUGUUAAGUCAGUUGUGAAAGUUUGCGGCUCAACCGUAAAAUUGCAGUUGAAACUGGCAGUCUUGAGUACAGUAGAGGUGGGCGGAAUUCGUGGUGUAGCGGUGAAAUGCUUAGAUAUCACGAAGAACUCCGAUUGCGAAGGCAGUUCACUGGACUGCAACUGACACUGAGGCUCGAAAGUGUGGGUAUCAAACAGGAUUAGAUACCCCAGUAGUC